CGAGAAAACCCUUUCCGGAGGGGGGGAUGCGGAGGGAUCAUUACCGAGUUUACAACUCCCAAACCCAUGUGAACAUACCUAUUGUUGCUUCGGCGGGAUUGCCCCGGGCGCCUCGUGUGCCCCGGAUCAGGCGCCCGCCUAGGAAACUUAACUCUUGUUUUAUUUUGGAAUCUUCUGAGUAGUUUUUACAAAUAAAUAAAAACUUUCAACAACGGAUCUCUUGGUUCUGGCAUCGAUGAAGAACGCAGCGAAAUGCGAUAAGUAAUGUGAAUUGCAGAAUUCAGUGAAUCAUCGAAUCUUUGAACGCACAUUGCGCCCGCCAGUAUUCUGGCGGGCAUGCCUGUCUGAGCGUCAUUUCAACCCUCAUGCCCCUAGGGCGUGGUGUUGGGGAUCGGCCAAAGCCCGCGAGGGACGGCCGGCCCCUAAAUCUAGUGGCGGACCCGUCGUGGCCUCCUCUGCGAAGUAGUGAUAUUCCGCAUCGGAGAGCGACGAGCCCCUGCCGUUAAACCCCCAACUUCCCAAGGUUGACCUCAGAUCAGGUAGGAAUACCCGCUGAACUUAAGCAUAUCUAAGCCGGGAAGAAAUAAAA
rnacentral:rRNA from 1 species